rnacentral:rRNA from 1 species
GACGAACGCUGGCGGCGUGCCUAAUACAUGCAAGUCGAACGCAGUGGGGACGGGUGAGUAACACGUGGGUAACCUCCCAUCAGAGGGGAUAACACUUGGAAACCGGUGCUAAACCGAUACUGAUGGAUGAACCCGCGGUGCAUUAGAUAGGUGGUGAGGUAACGGCUCACCAAGGCCACGAUGCUGAGCCGACAGUGUAGUGUGUGCGGCAACACUGGGACGGAUACACGGCCCAGACUCCUACGGGAGGCAGACGUAGGGAAUCUUCGGCAAUGGACGAAAGUCUGACCGAGCAACGCCGCGUGAGUGAAGAAGGUUUUCGGAUCGUAAAACUCUGUUGUUAGAGAAGCGGUAUCUAACCAGAAAGCCACGGCUAAAUACGUGCCAGCCGCCGCGGUAAUAC